GUAAAUCCAGUGUAAUAGUUAGCAUUCUGGACUCUGAAUCCAGCGAUCCGAGCUCAAAUCUCGGUGGAACCU
rnacentral:tRNA from 1 species